UUAAGUGCUAAAUUAUACAGGGGCAGCCACAGCUGUCAUUGGAGAGAGGGGGGUUUAUCUUCUGGUGGUUUUGGAGCUGAGCUCCGACCUCUGACCUCCGACCUCCACCUUCACCUCCCUGCAGAGCAACUUCCAGAGCUUGGCCAGGGCCUCGGGGAUCCAGAGAGCAGCAAGACACAAGGUCCUGCCUUGAAGGGGCUCCUGAAAGGUCUGAGUACAAAACCAACCAGGGCUGGGGUUGGCCUAUGACCUUUUCAGGGCAAUGAGAGAAAAGUGGGCUUCCCAUGGACAUUACAGAAACAUUUGGUGGGGUGAGGAAGGGUGAGUGACCAUGAGGUCCCCCAACAAAAGCAAGGGCCACAAAUCCACUGAUCAUCAGUGAAGCAAGCAGGGCCUGGCAGUCAGCCGACACCCAGCCUUCCCAGCUUGGGCCUGGCCUCUCUCACGAUAACUGUUCUGCCUGGACCCUGCUCAGGGUGGCAGUCCACCCCUUGUUCAUUCUAGCUCUGCCUGCAUUUUAUGGGGUACCAAGCAGGAAGUCCUCACCUCAAUUAAUUAAAUUUGAGCUCAAACCGCAGUGUGGGUGCUCAACGUGCUCAGGCUGUGGGUUCCAACCCAGAAGUAAAUAAAUAAAACUGAAAGGGCUCUCAAGAUUCAGGGAGACCCGGGCCGCUGCAGGUAACCAGCCAACAAUAUCCACUGCAUGGAAGUUGCUAGAAAGACUGAACAAAGCCAGCGAGGUCAUAUAGUCCAUUGCAGGGAAAACUAUGUCUGCAGCAGUUAAGGCAUAUGGCUUUACAACUAGUCUGAAACAUAAAAAGAACCAUCUGCACUUUAAUUUUUCAAGCUAAAUGGUCACACAAUUCACUUCUUCCAGAUCUGCAAGUUACGGUACAAAGUCGUCUGUGCCCUGAAUGAAUCUCGUUGCCUACCAACGGUGCAUUCCAUUUCCCAAAUGCUUUCCCUGCAAUGCUAAGGGGCUGAGACCUUCAAAACCAAUCUCAGCGCUUGGAUUUUGAGAGCCGCCGCAACUGGUGCAACUCUCUUAACAAAAACAAAAAACCGGUCGGAUCGCUGCCCAUCUCCAAAGACCCCUUUGCAAUCAGACCAGAUGUGUGCGCUGUUUACACUGCGCAAACCACCAGGAGGCGAGCAACUCAGCUCUACACAGAAAAGAGAAGCAGAUGUGGAAACCCACGGAUAGCCUAUUAUCCCAUUUAUCGGCUUAAUUCUCAAAAUCCAAGCUGCUUCCUUCCAAAUACCCGGAGAGAGGGGCGCUACAAACGACUCCACUGUAAAUCCACCCUGCGCCGCUGGCCCUUCCUCCUGAGCCCAACCGGGACCGAAAACUGCAUCUGGAGUGCAUUUCCCAGCCAGCCUCCCCCUUAGCUCAGGCUGAUCGCUCGCCGUAUUCCGCCUGGCUUCUGAAACAUCCCAUUAUGUGUCCACCAAGACAAUACAACAAACUGCCUUGGAAGUUUGUAUUUCCCCGUUUACUGGGGGAAAGUUCUAGAAGGAACAGGGGCGGUCAACGCCGCGAGAAGCAAGUCGGGCCGAGGCUGCGGGCGCUCGCAGAGAGGCAGCAGAUUCCAAGAAAGCCACUCACCGGCGUUCUCCCGACCGAACUAGUAAUAAGUAACAAUAAAUACGCUUUCAGAAAACUUUAAGAUCUUUAUCUGCGGAGGUGAUUAUUUUGGGAGACUUUUUUCCUCGAAAGGGAAAACGAAACAAGUUUUCCAGGUCUGAGUGGCAAACAGAGCUGUUCAUUUCAUAAGAAAAACACCAGCGAAUCAGCUUCCCCUCCCAAGUUCGGGUCUGUUUUCUUUUUCUUUCUUUUCUCCUCCAGCCCGCCUUAGAGAAAACCCGGCAAGCGCCCCGCUGGAUCAGGACGGGGAGGAGGGUCCGCCGUCCCUGCGGGCCGCCACAGAGCGCGCCCCGCGGCCGGGCCGGGCCUCCCUGCGCCGGGCCGGGCCGGGCCGGGCCGGGCCGGGCGGGCCAUUGCCGAGGCCGCCGAGCGCACGUAGUGUCCGGCGGAGGGAGGCCGGCGCACCCCGGGCGAGGGGGGCGCAGAAGGCCGCUGGCCGCAGCUCCCCGCCCACGGCGCGGCGGUGUCAGCGCAGAGGGGACGCGGCGGUCAGGACUCGGGGCGCCACACAAAGGCCCCGAGGCCUGCACCCGACUCGGCGGCCCAUUGUUCCGGCCGUCGCCCCGGCCCGGCCCCCGGCGCGGCCGCGCGCACCGUACCUUCGUAGCACAGGAUGCCGAUGUUGUUCAUCUUGUCCAGGUACUGGAAGUUCAACAGGUCCAUCCUCAUAAACAGCAUUUAUCGGCGCGCGAGGAAACCAGCUCUUCGCUCUCGCCGGGGAGAACGCUGCAAACGCGGUGGUCGCGGGCGGCUCCUGCUCCCUCGCCCGCCGAGGCCCGGCCCCGGAUCGCAACAAAGUACGGCGAAGUUGAAAGAGAAAGAAAGGGGAGCGCGCACAAAACCCGCCUCAGACCCCUCCCGGGACGGGCGUCCGGCGCGCACGCAGGGUCCUGGCCGCAGCGUCCGGGAAGCGGCCGGGGGCCUCAGCGAGUCCGUCCCCGACGCAGAGGAAGGAGAACACGGGCGCACUUCCCAGGACAAAGCCGCGCUCACAGCCCGCUGCGAGCCGACUGCGCGGACACGCGGGGCGCGCGGCGGGGGCGCCCAGCCCGGGAGCCGAGCAUGCUCACUGUGCCGCGGGCUCCUGCUCGGCCACCGGAGCCCACGUCGGGGGAGGGGCGCGCAGGAAGCGGAGCCCUGCAAACGGGAGGAGAGCGCCAGCCAGCGAGUUUCUUUUUCAGGAGCAGAGCAUGAAGUUUAAAAAAGAAAAAAAAAAAAAAAAAAAACAUGGUGGAAGCGAACGUCCCAGCAACUUUUGUGUGGCUUCACCCGUUGUUUGGAAACCAGACGUGUUCUAGAUGGGCUUUUUCUCCGGUUUCUUUUUUCUUUUUAAGAUGGGUUCGUCGUGCAUCCCUGGUUUAAGGUCUUAGUGUUAAUGUCACGCAACUUCUUUCAAAACCCAUGACCCACGCGGAGGGGUGGGCCUAGUCAGGGAUGAUGUCAACUUUUCACAGCAGGGGAAACUGAGGCCCAGAGGGCAAAACACUGAAAAGAGCUGACAGUUCUACUAGUUUUAAAAUAUGGUGUCCCAUAAGAGUACCUUAAGAUUAAAAUUUUUAAAAGAGGGA